CUUCGGUGAUGAUAUGAUGACGAGUCGGAAUGGGCCACGGUCGGUCUCUGGGUCAGGGUCACGUUCUGUGUCUCUGGGUUCAGUUCCCCAGAGCAGUGUGUCUCUUCAGUUGAAGACAUCGAGGCAUUUGUCUGAGAAGG
rnacentral:snoRNA from 1 species